GGCCGGGAACGCGCCCUCGGGCAGCGCCGCCGGCACCGCGGUCUUCGCCCCCGAGGGAGUGGCUGGUAGCAGGCGCUCCGACUCUCAAGUCGGAUUUCUCCGGAUAAAGCGUCGUUUUAAUUUCCUUUUAUAAUGCGAUCUUCCAACGUUUAUAAUUGGAAACACGUAACACGCAUGGCAAUAAAACCUGUUUUGUUUUAAAGACAAGGAGCACGUCCAGGAGAUGAAGAAAGAGCUCGAUUCGCCGUUGCAAACAGCUGAGAAGGCGUUUGCAGUGGAGCUGCUGACGAUGCCGGCUGCCAGCAGGAAAAUGAAAAGGAAAGACUUGCUCGAUUUCCAAAACCAAGCCAUUGGUUUCACUGGCCUCUGGUUUAAAUAGCAAACUGAACCCUCUUUCCAGUGCCACAAAUUUCAGAGCCACUCCAAAGACACCUAACAGGUAAGGGGUUAUAAUGGGCUAAUUAAAAGAUGGAGUCUGCUUCACCAUUGCCUCGAGCAUGGAGCUAAAAAGCUUGAUGUGCCAGCUGAGCCGCUUGCAAAACCACCUAGCAAGUGAACCAAGGUAGCUGAGCCAUUCUUAGCAAAAAGGAAGGUCUUUGGAUAAGAAGCGUUACAAUCAAGAACACAGCGGGGACUUACUCUCCCAAAUAAGGUAUGCCAGGCAGAUCUUGCUUGGGUACUGGGGCACCAGCCAGUGGACACUCAGGCCCAUCUUGGUCCCAGGCAAACUUUGCUUGGGUACUGGUGAACUGGCCAGUGGGCACUCAGGGUCUGCCAUGGGGAGGGUAUUUAAGUUGGCGUGCCAGUGGCCUUUGUGGUGAUUGUAAACUCCUGUUCUGUGCUUUUAACAGUCACCCUCAGCUUUUCCUGCUUUUCUGUCUCCCUUCUUUCUCUCUUCUCUUUUGUGUAACAAAAUAAAGUUGAGUUAUCUUUUUUGGAAUCAGGCAUCUGGCCUUGUUUGUGCCUUAAUCCCGUUUAUGGGAAUGUUUUAGAACCUGGUUCCACUCCUUGUCUAAGCAGAUCAGAACAGGGGUUUUUGGCUUGUUCUUAAUAAAUAAUUUUGUUAAAUACCACAUGAUUUCACGGAAUAUUCUGAGUUGGAAGGGACCCACAGGGAUCAUUGAGUCCAACUCUUAAGUGUGAGUCAAAGAAGCAACAUCUCUACCUCAAUUAGCUUAGGAAUUUAGUGGUCUCUGACCUUAGGAGAGGAGCUGUACCUUAAUCCACAAACGUGCAUGUUUUCCUGAACUUUGCCAUUUUGGCUGCUUUUCUCUUAAACCUAUAAUCAGUUUAGUAUCAUAAAAUAAGGGUAAAGGAAGCUGAGAUAACUGAAAACAGCUGACUAGUCCACCUGAAGGACAUGAACCAAAUGCAUCAUAUACUUCAAAAGGCACAAUAAAUAGACGUUGUUUUGCUAGGAAUUGAAUUCAAAUAAAGGACUGUUGAAGUAGAAAAAUAACAUGAGGUUAUCUUUUAACUAGUGAUAGAUGUGUCUUGUAGUGGGUAAAGACAAUCAGAUGAGAUUGUCCACAGCCCCAAAUUCCUGCCACGAAAGCGACACUAGAUGGCAGACGUGCUCCACGAAAGAAAAGUCAGGUGAGAUUUGGGUACAGGCUCACGCCGUAAUAAGGUGGGUAGUUUUCUGGGAAGCAACUUUGAAUGUUACACUGUAUAAAUAGCCGAAGAAACUGUACUUCGGAGAGGAUGUGUGGCGAACGAUUCCCCGUGCUCCCGUCACGACGAAUUAAAGGAAUGUUUCAUCCAAACGACACCGUGGCUGUUUCGGUUGGUGCUGUGACUCAGAUCCCUCUGUUCGCUGUGACCCCUUGGUGAGACAGACGCUUUCAGGGCGCCCCUGGAGAUUUCUCCGGCAAAGCCUCCCUCAGCCACGGGAUCAUUGCAGGAGCAGACAAGGUCCUGGCCACAGCUUUUUCAGGUCAACCUCUGGAGGGGAAGUGGAACAGACCCUACCAAGUGCUGCUGACAACCUUCACUGCAAUCAAGAUCAAAGAGCAUGGAUUCACUAUUUACGAGUGAAGAAAGCACCUGAGAAGGCUUGGACGUCAGAACCAGGCAGACCCACUACUGUCAAGUUUUCCCAGUGUUUAUCUUUGAUAAGUACAAUAACUCUGACUCAGACUUUUGCCUUAGACUGGCCAUGGUCUCAAGCAUAUUGUGGGUUCUCUGGUCUAGAGACCAUGUAUAUAGAUGAUCAUCAACAAAUGGCUACAUAUAAUACCUCUGCUGUGGUCUUACAAAGAGACACAACAAUCUUAAAAGGUUGGCAGAAUCAACACUGUGGUGCAAACAUUUUGGCUGAAGUUGUUGGAAAGGAAGUACGAGUAGGAUGUAAAAUACUUAAUCCACCCCUACAAGAAAACUAAAAACUGCAACCUCAAAUUUUUAUGAGAGAUCCUUUGGUUCUUGGGAGUCCGUCCUGUUCACCUUUUCUUAAAACUUCAUAUGCAGGAUGGGCAGCAUGGCUGCACAAAUGUACAUUCACCUUCAAGAAUUGGACUAGAAGAGAUAUAGUUGGGGCAUUAGGAUCAGGAUUAGGGAUUUUGAACAGCAUGGAUUCUUAAAUAUUAAUAAAUAGAUUGGAAAGAGUGACCAGCGAUUUGAAUCAACUGCAAAGUCCCCUAAAAUCUUCCCUUUCAACCCUAGGAGCUAGUCAACAACUCACAUUAGAAGCAUUACUCCCAUGGGAAGAAACUAAUGAACAUAUCAUCUGUUAAUUGCAAAAGCUCUAGGGUCAGCUCAGACCAAUGUUUGUUUGGCUCAGAGUUGUAUUCAGGCUCAAGCUUGGACACAAACAGUGAUAGUGGCAAUCAUUAGGGAAGGUGAAAGUGGCAUCUUAUCAACUGAAAUUUGUGCAGUUAUUUGGCAAAAUGUGACACAAUUUGAAUAGGAAUUGCAAUUGUGGUGGUAAUGAGUUAAUUUGACCUCCUGAUCCUACUACUGGUGUUGCUACAGCCUUUGUACUAACUGUACAAAAAGCUGAAAUUAAUGGGAUCUACCCAAUUAUCACCUUCAGGGCAAGUCACGCCAGAACUAUACUGGAACCCGAGACAUUGUCUGGGCCCUGAGAAAAGGAGAUAAGUGGCAAACAAUUGAUGUAGAGGCAUGCACUGUACAAGAACAAGGAUAUAUCUGUGAGAGCAAUAGUAUGAGAGCACAGGACAUCUGUCUAGAUACUGAACAAAGCAUUUGUCAUUAUGAGAUGCACCCAUUUGAAAAUCCAAAACCUGUGAUUGUUUGCAUAAGGUAAGGGCUGUGCUUGCUUGAGGACCCCAUGCAGCCUGCUGCAUGUAGAUAAACAUUCUUUAAUGACCAGUAAUCAGUCCAAUUUCUGUGUUUGUAAUUUUGUUAACGUUGGAGGGUGUGAUUUUAAUUAUGCAGCUCCAGUUGUGAUUUUAAUUAUGCAGCUCCAGUUGUUUUGUACUCCUUGUUAGGAUGUGACUGUGUGUUAUUUUGAGAGGUCCAGCCCACCCCCACUAGAAUGGACUAUGUAUUGCUUGCAGAAUUAUUGCAUCAUGAAGACCUGCAGAAACUAUUGAAGCAAAUCCAAGAAAAUGGAUGAAAGACUCUAAUUAUGGUCCAGCAUGAUGUAGAAAAGAUUCCCCACAUACUCGAACGAGUGAAAGAAGACAGAAAGAACUAUUGAUGGGACACUUUCAUGAGAAAAUCUCCCUCAGCAGCUCAAGUUUUGAAUGUGUUGAUUUUGUUGUUUAUAGUAGUAAUACUUGCAGUGGUCAAUUUUGUAUUCUAGUGUAAGUUAAGAACCUUAGCAUCUCAGGUAAUGAAGAAUUCAAAAAUAAAAUACAAUAAAAAUAUAAAUAAAAUAAAAAUGAAAUUAAAAACAAUAAAACUAAAUUAAGAAAAAGUAAAAAAAUAAAAGGAAUAAAAUUAUUUUAUGGAAUGGGCAAUUAGUUACUCUCACCAGGAGUAUAUUUUACUACUAGCAAAAUUCAAUUUUUUUUUCAAAUUGCUGAUAGACUUUGAUUGCAGACUUUGGCUGCAGACUGAAGUGUAGCUGCUCUGAAAAUUCCAAGAAAAGGUGUAAAAUGAUGAGUGAAAAAUGUCAAGGGUAAUAUUUGUUUAAUGUGAUUUUGCUCAUACGUUUAUAUCCAAAAAUGUCUUUCUAGACCACCUGGGAGUUCUACUGUUGAGUCAGGUUAGCCCUUUCCUUUUUCACAUUUACUCCAUUUUGUUUGUACUUCCCAAGUCUAUUUUAUUUUUCUCAUUUUCUUUUACCCUGCUGGUUUGUUCUUUCUUGGCUUUAUUUUUAAUUAGUUAAACAUAAGUGGCCUUUGACAUAGCAAAGAUUAUGAAAACAGUGGGACGUUGGUUACUGCUUUGAAAGAGUAAGGCAAAUAUUUUUGUGUUUGUUCUCCUUUGUCUGUUACCUCUCUCCUGGGGUUGUAUUGUCAGUAAGUGAAGUAAAAGAGCCACUUGAAGGGGGGAAAGAGAGUUUAUUUGGAAUCUUUCUUAGUUUUCUGUGUUUUAUUAGGGCUAAAAGCCCUAAUAAAUCUUAGUUCCAUUGUGCUAUGCAAAGCUACAAAUGUGUAAUGAGAACAUCUGAAGUUUACAACAUUAAGCAUUAUGCCAGACCAGACCUGGCAGGGAGAUGGUACUUAAUUUUAUGCAUGCAGAUCAACCACCAGAGAUUUUGAGCUGGCAUCUAAUCGUGUUUAACAUCUCUUGAAAAUCUGUCCUCUCACAAUGGAAGCUCCUAUGUGGAAACUGGCCUACUGGAAAGCUCUCCUUUUAUAGUCAUU